rnacentral:rRNA from 1 species
AAUGAACGCUGGCGGCGUGGUUAAGACAUGCAAGUCGAACGGUUUUUAAUGAAGGGCAACCGGAAUUAAAAGACAGUGGCGAACGGGUGCGUAACACGUGAACAAUCUACCUCCAAGUGGGGAAUAGCUCGCCGAAAGGCGAAUUAAUACCGCAUGUGGUGGUCUCUCGCAUGAGAGGCAAACUAAAGUCAGGGACCGCAAGGCCUGACGCUAGGAGAGGAGUUCGCGGCCUACAGCUAGUUGGCGAGGUAACGGCUCACCAAGGCUAAGACGGGUAGCUGGUCUGAGAGGAUGAUCA